GAAUAAACUACAAGUUAAUUACAAAAGCAUUCUCACAGUGUUGCUAAAUACACGAUCACACCAAAGUCUCCAAUAGUUCUCUUCCUCUAUCUCCCUGUGACUAAUCAGAUCCGCCGAGUCUUUGAAUCUUUACUCAUCGAUUUCGCAAACCCUAGCUCCGGCGAUCUCGAAGCAUCGAAAUCCAUGGCGACCUCACCUGGUAACUCUAACCCUCCCAUUUCAAUCCCCCGCCGUUCGAUCUCGGUCCGUUUUACAAUCAACAGCCCUACGCUCCGCCGGCUAUCGCCGCCCAGCCAUCCCCGGUGACUCAGACGCCGCAACAGGAGGCGGUGCCUUCCUCUUCCUCCGCGACUAACUUGCACCCGCAGAGAACAGUAUCUUUCCCCACGCCGCCUCUGAAUCUCCUGUCGCCACGUGGCAAUCACAAUCCCGGGACGCAGAUCCUGGCUCUCCUCAACAAUAACAACAACGGUGGAGGCGCCGCCGUCGCGUCCGCUCGAGAUCGCUCGCUCGACGAAUAUAUACUUAUGUAGUAACAAAAUUGAUGAUAAAAAUCUAAUAAAUAAUGCUUCACUGUAAUUAUUCGGAUCCGUAUUUUUAAAAUACAUUAAAAUUUUAAAUUUUAUUAAUAUUAAUAUUUGAUA